CCAAUUCUUGUCAAGUAUCAUUUUUCGACUUUACAUUACUAUUUUAUAAAUAUUAGCAUAUAAAAUUACUUGUACAUGAUUGUAUGUGCCCAUGGACAGAGGAUAAACAAAUCCACAUUGAAUGUUUUUUGUCCGUCUGUCUUUUAAAACAAAAGACAAAUAAGAAACAAACAAAAAUCAUAUACGUUUUCCCUUUACCGUUAGACAAACCUUUCCCUAAAAACAAAAUUAUCUUAUUGCAAAUUUAGCCCUUUAGAUAUGCUUCAUAUCUUUUAAAUGUCUUUUGCUAAAUCCGUGCUCUUUUGAGAUGACCACCAUUUCAAUGAUGCCUUAUUUAAUGAUCUGCCUUUGAAUUUGUGUAUGUGAAAUUACAUCUUGUAAACAGUUUAGGAAUGAAAACACAAAUUACAUGUAAUUCAAUACUUUAUUUGCUAUAUUUAAAUAUACGAGUUCCAGAUCUCAGAUUUUUAGAUGAUGACAUGCGGGCCACAAUAGACAGGUUGCGGGUUGGAGUCGCAGUCGGAACCGUCCUUGGAUUCGUGGCCGGAGUCAUGGUCACGGGGUUGUUGAUAUUACUGUACACAAAAAAGAUGCAGAGACUUAAAAAUUCAAGGUACUCUUCACAGGUAGACACACAGAGAAAAACACAAUUACACGGAGAGAAAGCAGAAUACCAAUAUGAUAAUGCACAUUACACAUACUGUGAUGUCAAUGAUGAAAUCUGCCAAAGGCCGAUAGAACCAUCUUCUAAAAGUCAAAAUAGCGAGGAAUCCCACAAGUACCAAGAUUGUAAUUUGAACACAUAUAACCAUCUUAACGAAAGCAAUUCCAACAAUGCUAUCAGACAUGAAGAAUAUGACCAUAUCCGGGAUGCGCGCGCAGACUCGUUACCAUCAGACGGAGAAUACAGGAUGUUAGAACCAGCCAACUCGAAGCAAGAAGUUGGCAUUUUGCCACUAGAGAAACCAACAUGCGACAUGAGUAAACCAAGUGAUGAUAAUUACUUUGAACUUGAAAAUGUGAAAUGUCAAGCCACCAACCCGGAUGCGUAUUUUGUUUUAGAGAAGGACUCCUAGUAAAAACAAAUCCUGCUUAUUAUAAUAAUUUCUUAUUUCUGUUUCUCCAGUUUUGUUUAUUUGUUGUUGUUUUUCUUUGGGGAGGGGGGGUUUGGUUUUUUUGUUGUUUUUUUUUUGCUGUUCAUUUUUUUUUCUAUUUUUGAUUUUGUUUUCUUUUUGCUUUUGUUUCUUUAGAAAUUUUCAAUAAAUUAUUUUUUUAUUAUACAGAAGUACGUUUUAUAAGAGUCACAUGUACAUUUUCCAAAACAGUUAGAAAAAACUGAUGGGCGAAAACAGAUAUACUGCAAGCAUGUGGCGGAUCAAAGAUCUACAACUAUGUGCUGUUUUGAUUAUCUUGUGGCUUGGGAUUGUGUUCUGUGAUUCAGAUGCCCCUCCCCCAGAUGAUGGUUACCCACCCUAUCCCACAAACCCCCAACAACCCCCACCCUACCCAGGGAACUGAAAGCAAGGCCAGAGGAAAUAUAUCUUUUCUGUAUAGAAAUAUAUAGAUAAAUUGUGAUAUGACUAAAGUUGAAUCCCAAUUUUGUUAUUAUAUAAGUAUGUUGUCAAUUUUAUUUUGGUUUUUUUUUUUUCAUGUACUAUGAUGUUUGGGAGAAAAUACUCUUUAUUGUUGAUAAAUUCUUUUUAGUACAAUACAGACUCAAUAAUUAAGGUAUUUAAUGUAGUUUUUGCUUUUUUAUGUAAUGUGAAUUUAUUUAUUUUGCCAGAGUAGAGGCUCAAUUAUAAGAAUUUUUUUUAUUAUAGGGUUGCUUUUUUAUAUGACUUUAUAUUUUACUUUUAAUAUGUCACCAAAAUUUACAAGUUUAUGUUAAUACUAAAGCAUCCACAUCAAUAGUUGUGUUACUUGACAUGUGUUUUGCCUAGAUAUGUACAGCUACCCAAUUUAUUCUCUGAACUCUUUUAUGCUUUUUUUUUCCAAGAACUUUUUAAAAAAAUUUUUUAUUGAACAUGUUCUUUUUUGCAAAUGAUCAAAAUGUUGUAUAUUAUUUUGCUUAUACUCGUACAAACCUACAUUAUUGUUUUGUUCCAUCACAUUAUUUUUCAGGUGAAAAUUCUCACUGCUCUUCAUUCAAAUCAUGUUAAACUUUGUUGAAGAAAAUUUGUUGCCAUAUUACAUGAGCAUAUUUUGUAGAAAGCAUGCAUUAGAUGUAAAUUCUUAUUUUACUUUUAUGAGUGAGUGAUUAUAUAUCUUGAAUUAUACAUGUGUCUUAAAUAUUCUCAAUAUAAAAUUUUAUAUAUAAAAAAAACAAUGUCUUGCUUAUUAAGUGCACAAGAUUGUGUAAAUUGAACUACUAGUCAACUAGAUCAGAUGAAGUUUUAAUGAAAUCAUCUUUGAUCUUGGAAUUAGUAAUUUUUUUUGUUUUACACAAACUGUUUUUAAUUAUUGAUUAUUUAAUGUGAAUGCUUGAAAAAUUAUAAUAUAAUGUUUUAUUAUACCUUUUUUUAUUGCUGACUGAUAUAUCCAGGUGUUAUUUCAUUAGAUUUUUUAAAUCUGUGGGAGUCAAAAGAAUGAAUAUAAUUAUGUUCCAAACAUUAGUUAUGAAAAGCCAUAAGUCAUUCAGUUGAACUAAAUGUAUAAACAAUAGAGAACUGUAUAUGUAAUUUACAGUAUUUGUCUGUGUAAUUGUAACUUAUAAAUCGUUUCUGACAGACUAUGCAGCUUUCAUUUUUAUCAAACCCAUCGCUAAAUGUCAAGGUUACAUUUGUAACUUUGCAAUUAUGUGAUAUAGUUUCUGUUACAAGCAUUAUAUCUGUCAUAAUGAUCAUGGUAAUUUUGCUAAAGAGCCACAAUGAAAGUGUGGAUUAUUUGAACAUUUGUUACAUUUUUGCAUUAAGUUACAUGUACAGUUACACAUAAUCUGCUCUCUUUACAAUGCGGUAUAAAAUGAUGAUUGCUAAUUUUUCAUUUUUUGCUUACCUGAGAUGAAAGCUAUUUAGAAUUUUUGAUCACCUUUUCACCGGUGUUGGUCUUUUAACUUGUUUAAAUUAUAAACUCUCAUUUGUCUGUCUGUCCACCAGUCUUAAUUUUUUUAUUGAAUUUUUGUCGCCUUGUCCAUGGCCAGUUUUAAACGAACAUGUCACAAAACAUCCAAUUCCAACAUACAAUUUCUGAUAACUUUUACAUAUUAAUUAAUUUAUCAACUUCUCCAAUAGAGCCAGUUUCAACCAAACUUUUCACAAAAUAUUUGGGAGUUAAAGGCUUGUGGGUUUGUUAAAUAGAAUUUUAUACCAUGACUCCUGGAGACAAUAAGAGGAUACACUAGCUGAUAGUAUGGAAUCAAGCUUGUACAUUAACAAUAGGAAUGUUCAGGUUAUUGAUAGAAUAGUUUAAGUUUUUGCUUUUCAAAAUGGAGACACAAGUUACGAUAUAUAUUUUUAUAUACAAAAAAUUCCUAUAUGAAAUUUAAUGGAUUUUAUUUUAUAUUUUUUGUCAAUUUUCAAUUAUUGAACAGUAAGAAAACUUGAAUGCAGAAACAUUUGAAAUGAAAGAAUUCCCUAUAAAUAGUGAUUUCAUAAUGGAGACACAAGUUAUAUUUUUUAU
rnacentral:misc_RNA from 1 species